rnacentral:rRNA from 1 species
ACGCUCGACACCUACGGGGCAGCAGUUGGGAAUAUUGGACAAUGGAGGAAACUCUGAUCCAGUGACGCCGCGUGAAGGAAGAAGGUCUUCGGAUUGUAAACUUAUUUUGUCAGGGAAGAAAAAAUGACUGUACCUGAAGAAAAAGCACCGGCUAACUACGUGCCAGCAGCCGCGGUAAUCUGAGCGGGCUGGCAAGGC